rnacentral:rRNA from 1 species
GCAUAUCAAUAAGCGGAGGAAAAAGAAACUAACAAGGAUUCCCCUAGUAACGGCGAGUGAAGCGGGAUGAGCUCAAGCUUAAAAUCUCUGUGCAGGUUCUGCAUGCGUCGAAUUGUAGUCUAUGGAGGCGAUGUCAGUGCGGUUGUGCGGGAUAAGUUCCUUGGAAGAGGACAGCAUCGAGGGUGAUACUCCCGUAUGUGCCUGUACAGCUGCGCGUACGACACGUUUUCUUUGAGUCGCGUUGUUUGGGAAUGCAGCGCAAAGUAGGUGGUAAAUUCCAUCUAAAGCUAAAUAUUGGUGCGAGACCGAUAGCGAACAAGUACCGUGAGGGAAAGAUGAAAAGAACUUUGAAAAGAGAGUUAAAGAGUACCUGAAACUGCUGAAAGGGAAUCGAAUCGUUUCCAGUGUCUAUAAUCCAUGACAUAUUUCAUUGGCGCGUGAAUGCGUGCAGCGUUUUGGAAGUGGGUUUCCUCUCCUGGCGUUGUUGUGCGUUUGCUUGCUGGUGCCCUGUGUUGUGGUGGGACGUCAGAGUCAGUUCGUAUGCCGCGGGAAAUGGCUGUCAGGGAGGUAGGUCGCUUCGGUGAUUGUUAUAGCCUGGCAGUUAGUAGUCGUGGUUGGGACUGAGGUGCCUACAACGCGCUUUCGAGUCUGCGGGACUCUCGUCUGGUUGCCUGCUUGGACAGCUUGCUGUGCUAGUGGUCACAUCGGGCGAUUGAGAUCUGUAGUAACUUGUUGCCGUUCGGACUGACGAAUUGUUGGCGG